GAUGAACGCUGGCGGCGUGCUUAACACAUGCAAGUCGAACGAUGAAGCCCAGCUUGCUGGGUGGAUUAGUGGCGAACGGGUGAGUAACACGUGAGUAACCUGCCCUUGACUCUGGGAUAAGCCUGGGAAACUGGGUCUAAUACUGGAUAUGACUUCUCACCGCAUGGUGGGGGGUGGAAAGAUUUAUUGGUCUUGGAUGGACUCGCGGCCUAUCAGCUUGUUGGUGAGGUAAUGGCUCACCAAGGCGACGACGGGUAGCCGGCCUGAGAGGGUGACCGGCCACACUGGGACUGAGACACGGCCCAGACUCCUACGGGAGGCAGCAGUGGGGAAUAUUGCACAAUGGGCGCAAGCCUGAUGCAGCGACGCCGCGUGAGGGAUGACGGCCUUCGGGUUGUAAACCUCUUUCAGUAGGGAAGAAGCGAGAGUGACGGUACCUGCAGAAGAAGCGCCGGCUAACUACGUG
rnacentral:rRNA from 1 species